rnacentral:rRNA from 2 species
CAAGUCGAACGAGUUCUCGUUGAUGAUCGGUGCUUGCACCGAGAUUCAACAUGGAACGAGUGGCGGACGGGUGAGUAACACGUGGGUAACCUGCCCUUAAGUGGGGGAUAACAUUUGGAAACAGAUGCUAAUACCGCAUAGAUCCAAGAACCGCAUGGUUCUUGGCUGAAAGAUGGCGUAAGCUAUCGCUUUUGGAUGGACCCGCGGCGUAUUAGCUAGUUGGUGAGGUAAUGGCUCACCAAGGCGAUGAUACGUAGCCGAACUGAGAGGUUGAUCGGCCACAUUGGGACUGAGACACGGCCCAAACUCCUACGGGAGGCAGCAGUAGGGAAUCUUCCACAAUGGACGCAAGUCUGAUGGAGCAACGCCGCGUGAGUGAAGAAGGCUUUCGGGUCGUAAAACUCUGUUGUUGGAGAAGAAUGGUCGGCAGAGUAACUGUUGUCGGCGUGACGGUAUCCAACCAGAAAGCCACGGCUAACUACGUGCCAGCAGCCGCGGUAAUACGUAGGUGGCAAGCGUUAUCCGGAUUUAUUGGGCGUAAAGCGAGCGCAGGCGGUUUUUUAAGUCUGAUGUGAAAGCCCUCGGCUUAACCGAGGAAGCGCAUCGGAAACUGGGAAACUUGAGUGCAGAAGAGGACAGUGGAACUCCAUGUGUAGCGGUGAAAUGCGUAGAUAUAUGGAAGAACACCAGUGGCGAAGGCGGCUGUCUGGUCUGUAACUGACGCUGAGGCUCGAAAGCAUGGGUAGCGAACAGGAUUAGAUACCCUGGUAGUCCAUGCCGUAAACGAUGAAUGCUAGGUGUUGGAGGGUUUCCGCCCUUCAGUGCCGCAGCUAACGCAUUAAGCAUUCCGCCUGGGGAGUACGACCGCA